CGAGACUGUCACUUUGUCCGCACUGUUAUGGACUCAUACUUGUUAGUUAAGGCUUUCUCAGUUGAAAACCUUUCUGAACACAACUGUUAAGUCCAGACUUGGGGUGGGUGUCCAGGGUAUGAGGUGUUUGCUUGUGUUUUAGUUUAGCACAGGUGAGCUUGUUGCUUAGUGACAAAGACAACAUGAACAGAAUCUUUUGUGAUGACAGUUGGAAGUUGGAGAGGAAACCAUCUCAUCCCAACUGUGAUCUCACUACUAGACGGCAGUGCUGAAAGCACGCAGAGCUACAUGAAGACGGGCUGACGUUGGCGUGAAGGCCGGAGACUGGUAAAACAGCAGCAUCUGCCACCCAAUGAGAGCAAGCUGGCCCUGGCUGCUCAGAGUCCAUCAAGAGCAGCCCUAAUUUUCACACUGUAGUUACUUGGAAAUGUGCAGCCGUGUCGACAGAGACAAGAAGCCAAAGUAACAGGGACCUCACGUUCAUGCAGCUAUCAGAACGCAACUGAAAUGAAGACAGCGACAGAUCAGAUCCACACAUAGACAAGGCCUCACUGCUGGGAUUAGGCUCUGUGCCCACUAUUUUGGUCCACAUAAAGGCUGUUAGCAAGAAAGUAUUACUAAUGUAAACUAUGAGGAAUACUGGCUCAGCCGCUCCUGUGAGAAGCUUUGCACUCUCCACCGCCCCCCAGCAAUGCACAGCCCCACCUUUUCCAGCGCUUCACGGACCACUCUCUCUGUUUCCCGCUUGUGGUCCGACUUCAUCCUGUCUUUAAAGUCAUUAAAAAUUUUGGUGUACUUGUCGUGGCACAUGCUCUGACAGACGCCGUCGCUCGUCGUCUGAGUGCUUCGAUGCAGCAUUCGUGGGGAAGAGGCACUUAACUUCUUGGUCUGGGUUGACACUGACACCCUCUCAAUUGGCUGAGGCAUUGUGGGGAUUUCCUGGCUGGAACUCACUGCUUCCGUUUCUGGCUCGGG
rnacentral:lncRNA from 1 species